rnacentral:rRNA from 1 species
UACGGAGGGGGUUAGCGUUGUUCGGAAUGACUGGGCGUAAAGCGCGCGUAGGCGGACCAUCAAGUCGGGGGUGAAAUCCCGGGGCUCAACCCCGGAAUGGCCUUCGAGACUGGUGGUCUUGAGUUCGAGAGAGGUGAGUGGAAUUCCGAGUGUAGAGGUGAAAUUCGUAGAUAUUCGGAGGAACACCAGUGGCGAAGGCGGCUCACUGGCCCGGUACUGACGCUGAGGCGCGAAAGCGUGGGGAGCAAACAGG